CCUACGGGUGGCAGCAGUGAGGAAUAUUGGUCAAUGGACGCGAGUCUGAACCAGCCAAGUCGCGUGAAGGAAGACGGUCCUAUGGAUUGUAAACCUCUUUUAUCAAGGAGCAAAACGCGCCACGCGUGCCUUUUCGAAAGUACCUGAUGAAAAAGCAUCGGCUAACUCCGUGCCAGUAGCCGCGGUAAUACGGAGGAUGCGAGCGUUAUCCGGAUUUAUUGGGUUUAAAGGGUGCGCAGGCGGAAGGUCAAGUCAGCUGUAAAAUUUUGCGGCUCAACCUUAUAGUGCCAUUGAAACUGGCAUUCUUGAGUGAGUGUGAAGUAUGCGGAAUGCGUGGUGUAGCGGUGAAAUGCAUAGAUAUCACGAAGAACCCCGAUUGCGAAGGCAGCAUAC
rnacentral:rRNA from 1 species